UUGAGUCAAGUCAUGAUAACUUUACACAUUCAUGGAAAACAGUUAAAAGGGUUCUCAUUUACCUGAAAAAUGCCUUUUGGAAUCAUCACAGUGCAGCUUUCAGGUGGAAGCAGAACAGACCAGCUCCUAAAAAUGGGAUCUGAAAUAAAAGCGACAAAUGCGACAUCCCUGCAGCAUCCCGAUCCGGGGACAGCAUCGGGUGGGGAGUUUGGCUGGGGCAGUACGCCUGUCAAACCAUAAGGCAGAUCUCCUAAGGUGAGCUCAGGGAGGACAGAAACCUCCUGCGGAGGAGAAGGGCUUGAUCGUGACUUUCAAUACAAAUACAGACUGUGAAAACAAGGCCUCAUGAUCCUUCUGACUUUCUGGGUUUUGCCCAAAACCCCAAACAUCUCUAACUCAUAUUAUGUUUACUCCCGUAAAUGGUAAUUGUUAUUAUUCAGAAGGAGGUUUAGAA
rnacentral:ncRNA from 1 species